UAUAUGCAACAGGUUAUGAAAAAAUAAAAAACACCUUUAUUCACUUAACUAGUUACCAUGUUAAUACAGGUUACAGGUGAUAGGAUCCAAUCGGAAAAGGAGAACAUAACUCUCUUUUCUUUAUGUUUCAACCAUACCCAUGAUUGUACUUGUGCCAUGGUAAAAAUCUCCUCUGCAUCUAUCUUUGCUUGGUUAAAGAUAACUCUGUUUCUAUGCUUCCAUAUACACCAUACUAUUGAAACCCAGAGGCUUUUCCAUAACCUAUUGCCUUCCUUGUUAAAGCACAUACAAGAGAAUUGUUCAAAAUGAUUAAUCAUCUCAUUGUGAUUCACAGAACAAAUUCCCAUCCAGCUGAAGCACAUGUUCCAAACUUUACAUGAUUCCCUACAUGAAA
rnacentral:lncRNA from 1 species